UACAGAGGUCUCAAGCGUUGUUCGGAUUCAUUGGGCGUAAAGGGUGCGUAGGUGGCAUGGUAAGUCGGGUGUGAAAACUCUGGGCUUAACCCAGAGCCGCCACUCGAUACUGCUCUGACUUGAGUUCGGUAGGGGAGCAGGGAAUUCCUAGUGUAGCGGUGAAAUGCGCAGAUAUUAGGAGGAACACCGGUGGCGAAGGCGCUGCUCUGGGCCGAAACUGACGCUGAGGAGCGAAAAGCGUGGGUAGCAAACGAG
rnacentral:rRNA from 1 species